rnacentral:tRNA from 1 species
GAGGGUCUAGCUCAGUGGUAGAGCGCAUACUUAGCAGGCAUGAGGAACUGGGUUCAACCCCGAGUACCUCU